GGGACGAGAAGACCCUGUGAAUCUUAAAUUUGUAUAAUAUAUAAAAUUUUGUUCUAAGUAUUAUUUAAAUUUUUAUUGGGGCGAUUGAAAAAUAUUGAAAAACUUUAUUUAGAGCCUUAGAGGAGAUUAGAUGAAUAAGGUACUCCAGGGAUAACAGCGUUAUUAUUUUGGAAAGAUCUUAUUGAUAAAAUAGAUUGCGACCUCGAUGUUG
rnacentral:rRNA from 1 species